UACAGAGGGGGCAAGCGUUGUUCGGAUUUACUGGGCGUAAAGGGCGCGUAGGCGGUCAGCACAAGUCAGUUGUGAAAUCUCCGGGCUUAACUCGGAAAGGUCAACUGAUACUGUGCGACUAGAGUGCAGAAGGGGCAACUGGAAUUCUCGGUGUAGCGGUGAAAUGCGUAGAUAUCGAGAGGAACACCUGCGGCGAAGGCGGGUUGCUGGGCUGACACUGACGCUGAGGCGCGAAAGCCAGGGGAGCGAACGGG
rnacentral:rRNA from 1 species